ACAGCCAUGUCAUAUUGAAACACUGGCUCCUGUAUGAUCACUAAGGAUAAGCAAUGUUGAGCCUAGUCAGUACCUAGAUGGGUGACUGCUUAGGAACACCAAGUGCUGUAAG